GACGAACGCUGGCGGCGUGCUUAACACAUGCAAGUCGAGCGGUAAGGCCCUUUCGGGGGUACACGAGCGGCGAACGGGUGAGUAACACGUGGGUGACCUGCCCUCAGCUCUGGGAUAAGCCUGGGAAACCGGGUCUAAUACUGGAUAUGACUCCAUGACGCAUGUUGUGGGGUGGAAAGCCUUGUGCGGCUGAGGAUGGGCCCGCGGCCUAUCAGCUUGUUGGUGGGGUGACGGGCCUACCAAGGCGACGACGGGUAGCCGGCCUGAGAGGGCGACCGGCCACACUGGGACUGAGACACGGCCCA
rnacentral:rRNA from 1 species